UACGAAGGGGGCUAGCGUUGCUCGGAAUCACUGGGCGUAAAGCGCACGUAGGCGGCUUUUUAAGUCAGGGGUGAAAUCCUGGAGCUCAACUCCAGAACUGCCUUUGAUACUGGAAAGCUUGAGUCCGGGAGAGGUGAGUGGAACUCCGAGUGUAGAGGUGAAAUUCGUAGAUAUUCGGAAGAACACCAGUGGCGAAGGCGGCUCACUGGCCCGGUACUGACGCUGAGGUGCGAAAGCGUGGGGAGCAAACAGG
rnacentral:rRNA from 1 species